GGCGAACGGGUGAGUAAUGCAUCGGAACGUGCCCAAUCGUGGGGGAUAACGCAGCGAAAGCUGUGCUAAUACCGCAUACGAUCUAUGGAUGAAAGCGGGGGACCUUCGGGCCUCGCGCGAUUGGAGCGGCCGAUGUUAGAUUAGGUAGUUGGUGGGGUAAAGGCUCACCAAGCCGACGAUCUAUAGCUGGUCUGAGAGGACGACCAGCCACACUGGAACUGAGACACGGUCCAGGCUCCUACGGGAGGCAGCAGUGGGGAAUUUUGGACAAUGGGCGCAAGCCUGAUCCAGCAAUACCGCGUGCAGGAAGAAGGCCUUCGGGUUGUAAACUGCUUUUGUACGGAACGAAAAGGCUCUUUCUAAUAAAGAGGGCUCAUGACGGUACCGUAAGAAUAAGCACCGGCUAACUACGUGCCAGCAGCCGCGGUAAUACGUAGGGUGCGAGCGUUAAUCGGAAUUACUGGGCGUAAAGCGUGC
rnacentral:rRNA from 1 species